UACAGAGGUCUCGAGCGUUAGGCGGAAUCACUGGGCUUAAAGCGCGUGUAGGCGGGACGGCACGUCUGUCGCUGAAAUCCCCCGGCUUAACCGGGGAACUGGCGUAGAUACGACCGUCCUGGAGGGGCGUAGGGGGACCUGGAACUUCCGGUGGAGCGGUGAAAUGCGUUGAGAUCGGAAGGAACGCCCGUGGCGAAAGCGAGGUCCUGGACGCCUACUGACGCUGAGACGCGAAAGCCAGGGGAGCGAACGGG
rnacentral:rRNA from 1 species